GUAGAUAUAGUUUAAACAAAACACUAGAUUGUGAAUCCAGCAAUAGAAGCUCAAAUCCUCUUAUCUACCG
rnacentral:tRNA from 1 species